GAUGAACGCUGGCGGCGUGCCUAAUACAUGCAAGUCGAGCGAACAGACGAGGAGCUUGCUCCUCUGACGUUAGCGGCGGACGGGUGAGUAACACGUGGAUAACCCACCUAUAAGACUGGGAUAACUUCGGGAAACCGGAGCUAAUACCGGAUAAUAUAUUGAACCGCAUGGUUCAAUAGUGAAAGACGGUUUUGCUGUCACUUAUAGAUGGAUCCGCGCCGCAUUAGCUAGUUGGUAAGGUAACGGCUUACCAAGGCAACGAUGCGUAGCCGACCUGAGAGGGUGAUCGGCCACACUGGAACUGAGACACGGUCCAGACUCCUACGGGAGGCAGCAGUAGGGAAUCUUCCGCAAUGGGCGAAAGCCUGACGGAGCAACGUCGCGUGAGUGAUGAAGGUCUUCGGAUCGUAAAACUCUGUUAUUAGGGAAGAACAAAUGUGUAAGUAACUAUGCACGUCUUGACGGUACCUAAUCAGAAAGCCACGGCUAACUACGUG
rnacentral:rRNA from 1 species